UACGUAUGGGGCAAGCGUUAUCCGGAUUUACUGGGUGUAAAGGGAGCGCAGGCGGCCUGGCAGGCCUGAUGUGAAAUACCGGGGCCCAACCCCGGGGCUGCAUUGGGAACUGCCAGGCUGGAGUGCCGGAGAGGCAGGCGGAAUUCCUAGUGUAGCGGUGAAAUGCGUAGAUAUUAGGAGGAACACCAGUGGCGAAGGCGGCCUGCUGGACGGUGACUGACGCUGAGGCUCGAAAGCGUGGGGAGCAAACAGG
rnacentral:rRNA from 1 species